UUAAAUUGUAUCCUCACUAUUUCUUUUAAAAGAUUCAAUUAUUUUUUACCCUAAUUUGGUGUAGUAAUUUACUCUUAAUAACAUGAUUUGCAUGGAUUUCACUCUUGAUGAAAAGGAAAACUUGGAACUCAAUUCAUAAGCAAACUAAAGACGUGAUGAUAGUACAAGACACCUGAGGAGACCACUGUUCAAAUUUUCAACCUACGUGGAAUUCAUGAACAUCUAGUACAAACUCAUGAGUGGACAUCUGUGAAGUUUGAACAAUAUAAUAUGAUCCAAUAACAUCCAGAAGUUAAAAUGAGACUCUGAUAUCAUGAUAUAAGAAACUAUGCUUUGAUCCUAACUCAAUCUAAAGAGGUAAAACUUGCCUAAGACUAUUUUAAAGAAGAUUCAUUUUAAAUUUUAAUUAGUUUCCAUAAACACGAAAGUGUCAUGAAUGAGAUACUUGAUUCUAUUAUAUUUCAACACGUCAAUUAUAAUACUUUCGUUUUGAUUUCAGGUAAUACAGUCUCCGUUUGACGUAGAUAGAGGUACACCAGUCUAUUUCACACGUAAGGCAUCGAAGAAAGUAGAAAUCACUGAAUCCACUGAUCUCAACAUCGAGUUCUACAAGGACAAUCAAACUCAUUCUUCCAAAAAUGUGUGGUUGGUGGAAGGUUACCCAGGACUUCAUUACAAAAUGGACAUAUCAACUGAUGGGGUGGCAGGAGAACUUUUGCAAUUGGCCUCUUGGUUUCAGAUUAAGAAAGCUAAUAGUUUCUCUUACAAGUUGUCCUUUUGUCCUUUGAGUUUUGGAGGGCUGGGGUGCAUGGACAUUGGCACUGAGUUUGGUAAUGAUGGACAACGGCGUUUGGCUGUAAGAGGACAACGUACUUUCAACUUUGUUUUACUGAAGGAUAUUGAUGAUGACAUCGGAAUUAAAUCUGUUGUAUGAUUUGCUUUCAAGUUUGGGCCACAAAAUAGGAAUCCAUCGUCUAUGGAUUUCUAGUUUACUUUCCGUUGAGUAUGUCCCUAC
rnacentral:lncRNA from 1 species